AGUCAGGGGACCUCAGUUAUCCUAAAUAGCGGUUGUGACUAGAUGGGAGUACAACUGCGACCGGAAGUGACUUUUCGUAGCAGGUUGAUGCCGGUUUAGCUAGCCCUAACCCCAUCUCAUAAUUACCCUAACAUACUACAUCAAUUUUCCUAACCUGGUAAAUGGGAUUGGAUGAGUGACUCACCUCAACUCCCACCAUGUGAGUGUGCUGUCUGCUAUCACUCCUAGUUUGGCCCGGGUGGCAGGCUUCACCUGCUCCGCUGCAGGUCGGCAGUUCAGAGGGGUGCUGGACGAGCACCUAGCCAUGCUGUACUUUCCGGAGGGGAACACGGAGCUGGCUGUGAAGGGGGAGGAAGGGCAGCUGUACCACUGGAGCCUACCCUCCUCCUUCCAGCUACUGAAGGAUCUGGUGGCAGACGGGAAGGGACUUUUCCAUCUUGUUCCUUACCUUUUGGCUGAGACCUUCCUCGCGUGCUGUCUUCUGUGUCCCGUGCCCUCACCCAGUGCUCCCACCCACUGUUCCCCCGACCUCCCAGCCCUUAAGGUUGGCCAGGAACACCUACACUCCUUCCUGGGAGGAAAGCUUCGGUGCCGGGACCCCUUCGACCAGGAAGUCAGAGCACAUAUUCAUAGAUGACAACAUCCGGCAGAAUGAUGAGGACAUCGUUGCCCAUCCAAAAGUGUUCCUGGACUGAGACGGCUCAGAGACCUGCAUAUAGCCUCCACCUCACAGCUGUAUGACCUACGUCUGGUCCAGAACGACCGUUCAGAGCCAUCUAAGACCUAGUGUAUUUUAGCCAGCUAUGACAGGAACCUCCAGCAUGGGGCAGGCUAGAGUGGUGUGUCUGCAGCCUAUAGCUCCAGGGUGAGGGCUUGGGUUGGGGGAACUCAUUGGGUCUGCUGGUUGAAGGUAACUGCUGUAGUUGCUCAAACUCCUUCUCUAAGUUCAGUGUACUCAGGGUGUGUGAUACUGACAACCAUUAUAUUACAAAUGUAGAAGACGGCUGUUUUUAAAAUAAAAAUAGGUCAGAACUAGGUCAUCAAUGUAAAGGCAUUGUUUACGUAUACCAAAUUCUGUUAAGAAUAUACAAGUCAUAUACCUCACUGUUUCUAAUAUCACAACGAGAGAGUUACAUGGUUGAGCAGUGAAACUCUGUUAUAACUUCACACGUGCUCUUAUCUAAAGACAUGCUUCAGUUAGAACCCCAGUUAGUCUUACUGUUUGACUAUUUAUAAUGGCAUUACAAUGGAUGAGCUUGAAACAGCUAAGCCCUAGUUUAAUUUGGGUGUAUUUGGUUUGUGGGUUUGUUUGCGCUGGAAUUGAUUUAACUUUCUUUGGAAGCGCUCUUAUGUGGAAACACUAUUCCUAAUGAUAUAUCCAGGGAAUGUGUUUCACACUUUUUGUGGAUGGUCGUGUUGGAGAUUUAUAUGACUUAUUUUUAAGCUUGAAGGGGGGUUUGCCAUUUGACUACUGCAAAAUCGAGACACCUUUUCUAAGUAACCCAUCACAAUGGCUGGUGGGUAAUUGAUGAAGAUGGGGCACAAUCAGGCCUUUGACUGCAGUACAUAACUGAGACGGUUCAAUUCUAAGAAACAGGCGAAUGGGCUGUUGUUGCUAGGGCAACAGUCAUGUUUGAUAGGAGACACAUUCAGACUGUAUAUUUGAACCGACGGCUGUGUAUCUGGAUGUACUUUGUGUGUUCUUGUAUGUCAUUGUCUCAAGGCAGAUAGUGUAACUAAUCGUCUGCGUUGACUGUCAGUCGGGGGUGACGUAGGAUUGACGCCACCUGACGUAAGACAAUGCUUGUAUGUUUCGUGGUGAACAUUCUAAACUAUCAGCUUGUACUCAUGUGGAGUUCAAUAGAGCUGUGUGGAGGAAAAUGUUUGUUUCUUUUUUGUGCCACAGACACACUGUGUAUGGGAAUUUACUGAUCAAAUAUUGAUUAGUUAGGGUGUUACUGUCACCUAAAAGCACUAUCGAUUUCCCCUCAGGCCUUUUGGAUACAGUUAAGUUGUGAACAAGUGAUUGAUUAUCAGCCUACAGGGUGAAGACUAAUGAUGGAUCUAGGGGAACUAAUCAAUCAGGGAUCAUCAGCAGAGCAGGGUGUGAGGUUACGUUUAAAGUGUGAUUAUUGCUAUUAUUGACGUUUUAUUAUUAGGGGAGUUACUAACAGUGAUAAUUCAACUUCGAACAGAGUGGCUGCGGUUCUGGAUUUUCUGGAACACAGGAGUUUUGGACUAAAUAUACAGAGAUUUCUGCACAUGUGUAAGAUCCGCUGCGUGCCCUACCCCUCCCCGAGUCCUUCCAGCUGCUGCUCUGUGAUCACUCACCCCAUGACUCCGCUGCCUGCCCUACCCCUCCCGAGUCCUUCCAGCUGCUGCUCUGUGAUCACUCACCCCAUGACUCCGCUGCCUGCCCUACCCCUCCCCGAGUCCUUCCAGCUGCUGCUCUGUGAUCACUCACCCCAUGACUCCGCUGCCUGCCCUACCCCUCCCGAGUCCUUCCAGCUGCUGCUCUGUGAUCACUCACCCCAUGACUCCGCUGCCUGCCCUACCCCUCCCCGAGUCCUUCCAGCUGCUGCUCUGUGAUCACUCACCCCAUGACUCCGCUGCCUGCCCUACCCCUCCCCGAGUCCUUCCAGCUGCUGCUCUGUGAUCACUCUCCCCAUGACUCCGCUGCC